rnacentral:rRNA from 1 species
CCUACGGGGGGCAGCAGUGGGGGAUAUUGCACAAUGGGGGAAACCCUGAUGCAGCGACGCCGCGUGUGGGAAGACGGUCCUCUGGAUUGUAAACCACUGUCCCCAGGGACGAAGAUGACGGUACCUGGGGAGGAAGCUCCGGCUAACUACGUGCCAGCAGCCGCGGUAAUACGUAGGGAGCGAGCGUUGUCCGGAAUUACUGGGUGAAAAGGGAGCGUAGGCGGGACUGCAAGUUGGGUGUCAAAUCUACCGGCUCAAGCGGUAGCCGCACUCAAAACUGCAGUUCUUGAGUGAAGUAGAGGCAGGCGGAAUUCCUAGUGUAGCGGUGAAAUGCGUAGAUAUUAGGAGGAACACCAGUGGCGAAGGCGGCCUGCUGGGCUUUUACUGACGCUGAGGCUCGAAAGUGUGGGGAGCAAACAGGAUUAGAUACCCGAGUAGUC